CCUACGGGCGGCUGCAGUGGGGAAUAUUGCACAAUGGGGGAAACCCUGAUGCAGCAACGCCGCGUGAGUGAUGACGGCCUUCUGGUUAUAAAGCUCUGUCUUCCGGGACGAUAAUCACGGUACCUGAGGAGGACCCCACGGCUAACUACGUGCCAGCAGCCGCCGUCAUACGUAGGUGGCGAGCGUUGUCCGGAUUUACUGGGCGUAAAGGGAGCGUAGGCGGACUUUUAAGUGAGAUGUGAAAUACUCGGGCUCAACUUGAGUGCUGCAUUUCAAACUGGAAGUCUAGAGUGCAGGAGAGGAGAAUGGAAUGCGUAGUGUAGCGGUGAAAUGCGUAGAGAUUAGGAAGAACACCAGAGGCGAAGGCGAUUCACUGGACUGUAACUGACGCUGAGGCUCGAAAGCGUGGGGAGCAAACAGGAUUAGAUACCCGUGUAGUC
rnacentral:rRNA from 1 species